AACGCACAUUGCGCCCUUUGGCAUUCCGAAGGGCAUACCUGUUCGAGCGUCAUUUCAACCCUCAAGCCUGGCUUGGUGUUGGGCGUUUUGUCCCGCUGCGCGCGCGGACUCGCCUCAAAAGAAUCGGCGUCUGCAUGUGGGCCUGAUGCGUAGUAAAAUUCGCAGACCAGGCUGGCGUGCUGGCGGCCGGAACGCAUAUAUCUUUUUGUUUGACCUCGGAUCAGGUAGGGAUACCCGCUGAACUUAA
rnacentral:misc_RNA from 1 species